UGACGCUGAGGCGCGAAAGCGUGGGGAGCGAACAGGAUUAGAUACCCUGGUAGUCCACGCGGUAAACGAUGAAUGUUAGGUGUUGCGGGUAUCGACCCCUGCAGUGCCGGAGUAAACACAAUAAACAUUCCGCCUGGGGAGUACGGCCGCAAGGUUGAAACUCAAAGGAAUUGACGGGGGCCCGCACAAGCAGCGGAGCAUGUUGUUUAAUUCGAAGCAACGCGAAGAACCUUACCAGGUCUUGACAUCCGAUUAAAGCCGUAGAGAUACGGUGUUCCUUCGGGAGAAUCGAGACAGGUGGUGCAUGGUUGUCGUCAGCUCGUGUCGUGAGAUGUUGGGUUAAGUCCCGCAACGAGCGCAACCCUUAUGGUCAGUUACUAACUCGUAGCGGUGAGGACUCUGACAAGACUGCCGGGGACAACUCGGAGGAAGGUGGGGACGACGUCAAAUCAUCAUGCCCCUUAUGACCUGGGCUACAAACGUGCUACAAUGGUGACAACAAAGAGGAGCGAGACCGUAAGGUGGAGCGGAUCUCAAAAAAGUCAUCCCAGUUCGGAUUGUGGGCUGCAACCCGCCCACAUGAAGUUGGAGUUGCUAGUA
rnacentral:rRNA from 1 species